rnacentral:rRNA from 1 species
AUGAUUGUUGGGGACCUUAAUGAGAUCGUGUACACCUUUGAAAAAGAGGGUGGAAAUCCCAGGCCUCCGAACUACAUGCAGGCAUUUCGAGAUGUAAUUGAGGAUUGUAACCUUACAGACGUGGGAUUCGUGGGAGAUAAGUUCACAUGGAAAAGGGGGAAAACUCGAGCAAGACUAGACAGGGCACUAGCAAAUGACAUGUGGAACGAGGAAUUUGGUGGAGCAGUGGUGGAACACCUGGACUAUUAUCGGUCUGACCACAUGCCUCUUUUGGUGAGGCUGGACCCUACAACGAAUGUGCCAGUUGGGCCUAAAGUCCUGCGUUUUGAGUCGCGUUGGUUAAGGGAGACCAAGUUCCAGGAAACAGUAGCACAAGCUUGGGCUGAUGCAAAUACUGCUGCGCAGGAUGAUAGUCUCUCCUCGAGACUUGCGUUUGUACAUAAUCAGCACCACAAUUGGGACAUAACGGUGCUAAAAAAUGCAAGAAGGAAACUAAGGGGGGUGCAGAAGGAAUUGGAGCGUGUUACAAGAGAUACCAUGACAGAUGAAAACCUAUCAAGGCAACGUGACCUCCUAGCAGAAGUGGAGAAAUUAUUGGAACAUGAAGAGAUGUACUGA